UACAGAGGUCCCAAGCGUUGUUCGGAUUCACUGGGCUUAAAGGGCGCGUAGGCGGGCCAGCCAGUCUGUGGUGAAAGCCUCCAGCUUAACUGGAGAAGUGCCGUGGAUACUGCUGGCCUCGAGGAGGAUAGGGGCAUCUGGAACGGUCGGUGGAGCGGUGAAAUGCGUUGAUAUCGACCGGAACUCCGGUGGCGAAGGCGAGGUGCUGGGUCCUUUCUGACGCUGAUGCGCGAAAGCCAGGGGAGCAAACGGG
rnacentral:rRNA from 1 species